rnacentral:rRNA from 1 species
AGUCAACAUGCCCAGGGGACGUGGAUAACCUCGGGAAACUGAGAAUAAACCACGAUAGGUCAUGAUUUCUGGAAUGGAUCAUGGCCCAAAUCUACAUGGCCCCUGGAUUGGACUGCGGCCGAUCAGGCAGUUGGUGAGGUAAAGGCCCACCAAACCUAUAACCGGUACGGGCUCUGAGAGGAGAAGCCCGGAGAUGGGCACUGAGACAAGGGCCCAGGCCCUAUGGGGCGCAGCAGGCGCGAAACCUCUGCAAUAGGCGAAAGCCUGACAGGGUUACUCUGAGUGAUUUCCGCUAAGGGGAUCUUUUGGCACCUCUAAAAAUGGUGCAGAAUAAGGGGUGGGCAAGUCUGGUGUCAGCCGCCGCGGUAAUACCAGCACCCCGAGUGGUCGGGACGAUUAUUGGGCCUAAAGCAUCCGUAGCCGGUUCUGCAAGUCUUCCGUUAAAUCCAGCCGCUUAACGGAUGGGCCGCGGAGGAUACUACAGGACUAGGAGGCGGGAGAGGCAAGCGGUACUCAGUGGGUAGGGGUAAAAUCCUUUGAUCCAUUGAAGACCACCAGUGGCGAAGGCGGCUUGCCAGAACGCGCUCGACGGUGAGGGAUGAAAGCUGGGGGAGCAAACCGGAUUAGAUACCCGGGUAGUCCCAGCUGUAAACGAUGCAGACUCGGUGAUGGGCUAGC